rnacentral:sRNA from 1 species
AUUUUUUUUUUGGUAUACUCGACCGGUUCACUUGAUUGGUUUGUGUUUUUGGUUUGCUGUUACUAACGUAUUAACGCUUAUUUUUGAGUUUCGUCUGUUUUCAGGUUUCAUCAUGAGUAACUACAAUGAAGAAUCCUCUAUGGACCCUGAUUACAAUGUGGAUGAAGCUGAGUCCUGGUCCGCUAGACCGAGAGAGCGACAUAUUUACCAGAGCUUCAGGGAUGAAUUCGAACGCUCUGCAGCCCGACGUAAUCAGAGAAGAGCUGAAAUUGCCAGAGGAAAGAGGGCGAUGUCAAGUAAAUAUGAGCUGAUUGAUUAGGAUAUCGAAACUGAGUAUGAGCCAGAGUCAUGGCGCAAGGAGACGAAGCUGCUGAACAAACCCGACGAGGUUACAGUGGAGGAGUAUAUCAGAUUCUUUGAGAUGAAUGACUUCUGGGGAACGAGGUAUCCGUGCUAUGAGACUUUAGCCCAGCUGGGGUUACUAGAGGACGUGCAGCAUCUGUUCGAGAAGUGUCAUCUGGAGACACUCAUGUCUUACCCUUACCCUGCCUAUAAGGAGGAGACAAUCCAGUUUCUUUCCACGCUGCAAGUGGAGAUGUAUGAGGCACUCACAGACUUUGAGCUGAAUACCAUGGGGUUAGGCUUCUUGACGUUCUCAGUGAAUGAACAGCGGUAUCAGCUUUCGAUCAAGAAGUUGGAAAAACUGUUUGGUUUCCCUAGUGGAAAGCGAACUAAACCCAGAUUUGACAUAGAAGAGCUUAAGGAUUUAUGGGCCACUAUAGGGAACAAUCUACCGCUAAACUCGGCGCGGUCCAAGAGCAACCAAAUCCGGAGUCCUGUGAUCCGCUACUUUCAGAGAUGGGUUGCCAACGUCUUUUACUCCAGGGAAUCUACAGGCACCGUGUCUAACACGGACAUGGAGAUGAUAGAUUAUGCGCUUACAGGGAUUCUCCGUCAGACGAACGAAAAGAAUGUCUUGAGAGGCGAUCUCAACAACGCACCACCAGUAAUGUCUCUGUUGAUCCAUCUGUGUGGAUACAGGAAAUGGGCGUUGAAGAACGGAAAGAAGAAGGUGAGAGGAGCACUAUGCGUGGGUGGCGUUGUGACGCCAAUUCUGGAAGCUUGUGGAGUACCGCUCAAGGAACCAGGGUUAGCACCGAGGAUGAUGGACUUGGAUCAUUUGCGUAGAUGUGAGUUCUUGGAGUUUGACAUGGCUCGCGACUUUCGCCAACAUUCUUCUCCCCUGCAUUGACGCUACUAGGAUUCUCGAGGGCAGGAACAUUGACUUCAAGCCUGCGCUUAAAGAUCUUUAUUUCGAGGGCAGUCCACCAACUGAGGAGAUCAGUCAUACCGAAGGAGCUACAACAGAAGAUGUUGAUGAGACGGAUGAUAUAGAUGAGGCGGAGUUUGACACGAGCAUGUAUCAUUUCAGUGAGCAUAUAUCUCCUGCGAGGGAAAGCAAGAGUUUGAGCGAAGCUCACAGGAACAACAGCAAGCUGCAGAAGUGGUGCAAGAAACAGGACAACUUACUCGCCAAGUGCCUCAGGGCUAUCAAGUUUCUGAAGGACAAGAUCAGCUGCUCCUCUUCCACUACAGCUAUUCCGCAGGGACAUCUCCCUCGGGACAUGCCUUCGAGGAGAUAUGACGCGCCCGAGCCAAGUCGGCGCAGGCCCGAGCCUAGAGAGCAGGAGAUUCCGCAUGUCCCUGCGAGGCAUUCAUCAUUCGAGCCUCGUGAAUCUGAAGGAAGAGGAGGACCACACUCACUCGAUCUAGCAGUAGGAGCAGACAACUUCUGCAGUCUCGUAGUUUACGCGACCGCGGUGCUGGCCGCAGCAGAGCUGAUGAGGUCGAGUACCCACCUGCUGGAGCUGAUAGAGAACAAGGUGGUUCGUCUAUGGCCUGGGAGCAAUCACAGGCAGCCAUUGACGAGCAACUACGUUCAUUCUUCGACUGAGGUAAGCGCCUCACUUCACCAUUGUAUUAUAUCAUCUAUUGUGAUUUGUUUCUUCAUUUUUUGUUUCUGUGAUUGGAUUUGUCCUAAGUACUCUCUUCCAAGUUUGGGGGAGGGCUCAGGAAGUGUGUGUUGCAUUGUGUAUAUUUUUGAGUCUGCAUUCAUCUAAGGCAUAGAAAAACCAAAAAAAUUUGAAAAAUUUCAGAAAAUGAUUUCACAAAAAAAAGAGUGUUCAUGUUGUUGCAUUACAUUUAGGAUCGAGUAUAUAGUGUUUCAUUUAGGAUUGUUGCAUAUGCAUAGGGGAUGAUGAUGAGAUAGCCUUGUAAGCAUUUUGAUUCACUGGAUAAACUCAGUGCCCUCGUUGCUAGUUGUCUGUUGCGUAGUCAAUGAAUUUGAAAUAAAACUGAACCAUGCCUAGAUUGCUCUAUUCGACCACACUGUCAUGAUCUGAUACCAUUCCCUAUCAAUUUGAACCUGAAUCUGAUCUUUAAUUAUCAUGUCUGCAUCAAAUUUGAACUCAUGGAUACCCUAAAAUACUUGGAUUUUCUUAUUCAUUUUGAUCACUCUUGUUAAUCCAAGUAGUUGACUCUCCUUAUUAGAGCAGUUAACCCAAACUCAAACCUAGACUUUCUUUCAAGCCCUAUAUCACUUGUGAGUGUUUGUGAGGUCUUAUUCCGAUUAAGCUUGGUAGAAAGUGUUAGGUUCGUAACCACAAAGAUAGUGUCUCAUGUAGUUCUAGUUUGCAUUUUUCGGACUAGAUAAGACUAGGUGGGCGCUUAUACUUUGGGUUGGGAUGUGUUUAAAAUAAA